CCGGUUUUCUCAAAAUAAUAUAAUAGCGAAAAAUAACAAAAUAAUAAAUACUGAAAUAAUAAUAAUCUUCAUAUCAUAAUAUAAAAGUCAAUACGAUACCAUAAGGCCUAAAAGCCCAACAUCGAUAACAUCCGAAAUAUAAAAUACAACAUAAACCGAAAGUCUGAAAUAGGAAAUAACAUAAACGAUAAAAGUCCAAAGGCCCGAUAAAGAUAAAAGCGGUAAAAGCGAUAGAAGCCCAAAAGCCCAAUAGCACAGGUCCGAUAAUCACUCCUGCUCGUCGGUCUCACCUGAAAGGGGGAAGAGUGAGGGGUGAGCGAUAGGUGAAUCGCCCAAUGAGGUAUGGGGGAUGCUACCCCGAAGUCCAUGGACCCGGACAUAACACUCCGAAUAAAUAUAAUUUAAUUCUAAUACAUGUCAAACACGGCACCUAAAGUACCCAAGCAACAAACAAUGAUCCUAGCGAGGCGCGCUCUCGCCGCCCACUAACAGGCCAAAAACAUAACACAACUCGAGAUAGUGCUCGGACACCGCCCGUGGACGAUUUAUCGACACUUCCAGGCUACAACUCAACCGGUCGACUAUAGUUGGCCAUAACCUCAUACAAUCCGGCAUACAGAAGUCCGUCUCUGUAUCCGUCUCCACACUAAAACAAUCCUAGCUAAGAAUUUACAUUAAGUGAAGCAAUCAAUGUUGAAUCCUCUAACAACUUAGUUCCGGUUUAAGCAGAGAACCUAAUAACUAAACAAGCAAUGACAGACUCGAUUUCAAGCAGACGGAAUAUAUUAGAAAUAAGUUAUACUUAUUCGAAGUCCUAAGCCGUGUAAGAGGAGUUCGGGAAUAGCCCCUCACCUUAGCAAUAGGGAAAUGUGGUAUCUAUGAACUCCAGCUGCUCAAAUAGACUCUAAAUCUGAAAUCAGGGCGAAAUUCUAAGUCAGAACGGCUUUCGAACGGUUUAAAACGGGUUUAGUCAAGAUUUACGGAAAAGUCAACACGCUGGUCAAAGGUCAACCCGGUCAACUUUGACCCAAGCCGGUUAACCCUUGACCAGAUUGGAAUUGAUUUAAACCAACCGGUUGAACUCAACCGAAAUCGAUUCCAAUUGGACCAUCCGGUUUACCUUAACCAACAAUUGAUUAAUUAAUUAAUUAAUCCAUCUAACCGGUUUAUCCUAACCGAAAUCCAAUUGAUUUUAACCGGCGGUUUAACCUAACCAACCCUAAAUCAAUUUAAACCAAUCAAACCACCGGUUGACCGAGUGACCGAGUUGACUCACCGGGUCGACUCGGCCGAGUUGGCGAGUCGCCGGCGAAUCACCGGCACUAGUCCCGGCGGCAACGGCGAAGGGUGGCGGCGGCUUACCGGAAAAUCAGCGGCGGCGACGGCGGCGAGGCGGCGACGCGGCGGCAGCUUCACGGCGGCGGACGGACGGCGGUCGAUCACGGCGGCUCCGGCGAACGGCGGUCGGAGACGGCGGCGAGUGGCCGGAAUGCGCGGUGGCUCCGGCGGACGGCGACGGCGCGUGCGUUUCACGCCUGCGCAGAGGCGAAACUUCGGGAGGCUCUAGCGGCUUCGUCCGGGAUCCGAUUGCGGUGUGGUUGGUGUCUACGGCUUCGUCUCGACGAGAGGAACACGAUGGUGGUCUUGCAUGCACGAGAUGAUCAAUGGUUAGGAAGUUAUGGGCGAUUUACUAAACGGAAACGAAACUGAAACUUAAGGCAUGCGGUUUCCGGCAGUUACCUAGGGUGUUGAUCGGGGGUGACGAGCUGAACGUGAUCACGGCACACGGUUGCUCCGGCGACGAGCUCCGGCGACCCACUCACUGCAAAAUGAUCACACUUCUUCUUCUUAGUUCACUCUCUCUCUAACUCUUCUUUAUUUUCUGAAGUUUCUGAGAAAACAAGGUGGAGGUGAUGGUUAUUUAAGGCAAAAUACCUUGGGCUUUUUGGAGUGAAUUUGGGCCUCGCUGAAUGUCAGAUGGGCCUGGGUUUGGGUCAUGACAACUCUCCCCCACUAAUAAAGAAUUCGACCCCGAAUUCGAGUCACCAAACUCUCCAAUGACACCCCGAAACAGCUCUGGAUAAUCAAUCCUCAUUUGGAGCUCGGACUCCCAGGUCUCCUCCUGAAUCCCGUCGCUCUCCCAACGGACCUUGACCAACAUGGUCAUCAUACCAUGAUCUGCUUUCACUUGGCGAUCCAAUAUCUCUACUGGCUGGCACAACCCACGUAAACCUUUGCCAAGGUCUCUAGGUGGCUGCUGCAAAAUGAGCUCUGGCUCUCUCACGACUUUCCUCAAAACCGACACAUGAAACACAUCAUGGAAGUCUGAUAGCUCUCCUGAUAAAUCCAAUCGGUAAGCAACUGCUCCAAUCCGCUCCAAUAUAGGAUAUGGUCCCAUAUAUCUCGGUUUAAGCUUCUUUAGCUUCCGAGUCUUAGAUCCUCCCUGAAAUGUUCUCAUUUUCAGGUAUACCAGGUCGCCAACCUGAAACUCCAAGUCUUUUCGCCGCUUAUCUGCAUAACUCUUUUGACGGUCAUGGGCUUCCUUAAGCCGCAUCUUGAGCAUCUCAACCUGCUCGACUGUCUCUUGAACCAUGGCUGGUUCUAUCUCACGUCGCUCUCCCACUUCCGUCCAACAAAGUGGUGUGCGACAAGGUCUACCAUAUAGAGCCUCAUAUGGUGCCAUCCCAAUACUCGAAUGAUAGCUGUUGUUGUAGGCAAACUCGGCUAGAGGUAGAUACUUCACCCAACUACCUUCCCAAUCUAAAACACAAGCUCUGAGCAUAUCCUCCAAAGUCUGAAUAGUCCUCUCUGACUGACCAUCUGUCUGCGGGUGAUAAGCCGUACUCAUAUGAACCUUUGUCCCAAGCGCCUUCUGGAAGGCUCUCCAAAACUCAGACGUGAACUUUGUAUCCCGAUCCGAUACAAUGCUGACCGGAACUCCAUGCAAUCUCACAAUCUCGCUGAUGUAAGUCUGUGCUAGCUGAUCAGCUCUGUCUGUCUUCUUAACCGCUAGAAAAUGGGCUGACUUCGUAAGUCUAUCCACGACUACCCAUAUGGCAUUCUUCCCUCCUGACGUAGUCGGCAAACCCGUCACAAAAUCCAUAGUUACCAUGUCCCAUUUCCACUCCGGUAAUGGUAGGUUUUGCAAUAACCCGCUAGGAACCUGAUGCUCGGCCUUAACCAUCUGACACGUCUGACAUUGCGAUACUAAUGAAGCAACAUCUCUCUUCAUACCAGGCCAAUGGUAAUAUCGCUUCAGAUCCCUGUACAUCUUGGUAUUUCCUGGAUGAAUGGAGAAACUCGAGUGGUGUGCUUGCCGUAAGAUCUCCUUUCUUAACAGCUCAUCAUUGGGCACACAAACCCGGUUUCGGUACAUGAACAUCCCGCUGGAGGCUGUAUGAUAACCAAUACUCUCCAUCUCGAUCUGCUUACGCAAAGCCUUAUCACCAUCCUGAGAUUUGCGUAUCCUCCAUAGUAAGUCUGCCCGCUCUACAGCCUCAGCGCCAACUGACUCUCCUUCUACAGUAAUUGCACAUAAUCUGAGACUAGCAAGUGUCCCAGUAAGCUCAUGGACCUCUUUGGUUCCCGAUACAUCGCUUCUACGCCUACUCAAGGCAUCCGCCACAUGAUUGGCUUUUCCCGGAUGAUAUGCGAUCUCCAAGUUGUAGUCUGCUAACAACUCCAUCCAUCUACGCUGCCUCAAAUUCAAGUCCGCCUGCGUAAAUACGUACUUCAGACUCUGGUGGUCCGUGAAAAUCUUCACCUUCUCUCCAUACAAGUAUGACCUCCAGAUCUUUAAUGCGAAUACAACUGCUGCCAACUCCAAAUCAUGCGUAGGAUAAUUGGCCUCGUGAGGCCUCAAUUGUCGUGAUGCAUAGGCAAUGACCUGACCCUCCUGCAUCAGUACACAUCCCAAUCCGGUGCCUGACGCAUCAGUGUAAACAUCAUAUGGUAUUCCUGGUCUCGGGAGUACCAAAACUGGCGCAUGGGUCAGCUGUCGCUUCAACUCAGUGAAACUUCCCGAACAUUCCUCUGUCCAAUCAAACUUGGCGUCUUUUCCUGUUAGCCGUGUCAUUGGCUUUGCAAUGCUAGCAAAACUGUUGACAUACUUUCUGUAGUAUCCUGCCAAACCGAGAAAACUUCGGAUCUCCGUCGCACUCUUAGGUGUCGGCCACUCUGAAAUGGCGGUAAUCUUCUCCUGAUCUACGGCAACUCCUGCUUCUGAAACCACGUGACCCAAAAAUCCAAUCUUCCUCUGCCAAAAGUUACACUUACUUAGCUUGGCAAACAACUGAUGUUCCCGAAGCUUACCCAACACAAUCCGCAAAUGCUCAGCAUGCUCUUCUCUACUCCGAGAAUAAACCAAGAUAUCAUCGAUGAAAACUAUCACAAACUUAUCCAGCUGCUCUCGAAACACAUCAUUCAUGAGCUUCAUGAACGCGGCUGGUGCGUUCGUCAACCCAAAUGGCAUCACCACAAACUCGUAAUGUCCAUAACGGGUACGGAAUGCCGUCUUCCGCACAUCUCCCUCAGCUAUCGCAAUCUGGUGGUAUCCCGAUGCCAAGUCAAUCUUAGAGAACCAUGAAGCUCCCUGCAACUGGUCCAACAACUCGUCGAUACGCGGGAGCGGGUACUUAUUCUUGAUGGUCACUUUGUUCAAACCUCUGUAAUCGAUACAAAGUCUGAAACUCCCAUCUUUCUUCUUCACAAACAACACUGGUGCUCCCCACGGUGACGUACUCGGCCUGAUAAACCCCUUAUCAGAUAAAUCCUCCAACUGCUUCUUUAACUCUGCCAUCUCAGUUGGUGCGAGACGGUAUGGAGCUCGUGAAACUGGUGCUGCUCCUGGCUCUACUUCUAUCGUAAGUACGUCCGCUCUAGCCGGUGGUGGCCUUUUUAACGCCUCAAAGACAUCUUCGUACUCGGCGACCACUGGUAUAUCAUGCAGCUCCUGCUGACCGUCCUCCUUAACCAUCGAAAUGGUUGCCAAAAAUCCCUCUGCUCCACUCUCCAAUAAUUCUUCGGCACGCAACAUGGAGACGAUAGGAAUUUCCCGGUGUGUCUGAAUGCCCUCGCAAAUGAUCUUUCCUUUUUCUCUAGGGAUGUUAACUCUUGCCUUCGGACAAUCCAAGACUGCUCGAUGUCGCGACAACCAAUCCAUCCCAAGUAUAACAUCGUAGGAGCUCAUCUCCAUCUCCGUCAAAUCUCCGAGCAACUCGACUCCUCCAAGUAUAACUGGUACAUCGUAAUGAAUGCCAACUGCUCCCAACUUCUCCGUACCGGCAGUCUGAAUCUGCUUAGCCUUCGGUUCGAAGACACCCCGAAAAGACCAAGACUGGACUAAGCGCGGACUCACAAAACUAUGAGAAGCUCCCGUAUCGAAUAAGGUGUAAGCUGACUCUCCUCCAACCGAAACCGAUCCUACACGAGAUUUUUACUAACUACACAUGACAACCACGAACCAAAAUACUCAAACACAAACAAGUAUGGAAAAGUCUCAUACCUGCUAUCGGCUCAGCUCCUUGAGGAUCUCCAACCGCAAACACUCGUGGAGCGAUGGCUAGACGCUUCGGUGGUGGUGGGAGUGCCGCAUUGCCCCUCCUCGGGCAAUCUCUGAUGAAGUGACCUGGCUGACCACAGCCAAAACAGACCUGUGCCGCUGCUGGUGCUGCUGGUGCUGCAAUCUGUCUGACUGGUGGUGUAUCCAAUGGCUUAACCCGACAAAACUUCGCAAUGUGUCCAAUCUUACCGCAAAUAAGACACCUCAUACACUGCCCACUGUGACUGCGAUGGCAACGAGGACAUAUCGGUAAUCCUGACGGGUCCCCUGCUCUCCUCUGAGACUCUGGAGCUUUUCCAGACUUAACAUGAAUUGCUUUGGCGAGUUUCUGCUCCUCCACCAAGCCUGCCUCCUGCUCGGCAGCUUUCUCCACCAAAUCUCCCAAUCGGUGGUAAGUGACUACGCGACACCUGUUACGAAUCUCCACUCGCAUCCCACUCAAAAACUUCCUGAUCAAGUCUUCCUCUGAAAUGCCCACUCCAGCAAAUCUGCGAAGUUGGUUGAACACAACCUCAUACUCCCUGAUAGACAUCUCUCCCUGGCUUACAUGCUCGAACUCGCAUUUCUUCCUAUCCAUAGCUUCCUUCGGAAAGUAUUUCCUAUCGAACUCUCGAAUGAAGUCAGCGAAGGUAAGCCUCUCUGGCCCAAAAUGACUCAAUCGUAUUCCCUCCCACCAUAUAAGAGCAUCUCCACGAAGGUACUGCAUAGUCAAUCUAAGCGACAACUCUGGUGGACACUCGAUAAUCUCCAGCUUCCGCUGCAAGGCUAACUUCCAAUCAUGUGCAGCUACAGCAUCCACUGUCCCGCUAAAGUGCUCCAUAUCCAUGUUCCUCAUCUGACAUGUCAGCCUGUAGAACCUCUCAUCAUAAACAGGGUAAACAUAAGGUCGUGGUGGUGGUGGCGGUAGAUCCUGAACACCAUGAGCAAACUGCGGAGCUGGACCCUGCUGCAGUGGAACCUGAGGAAGGGGAACCUGCUGAACGGGAUCCUGAUAAUCAUGCUGAGCGGGAAUCUGCUGAUCCUGCUGAACCUGAACCGGUGGAACUUGCUGAACCCGAAUCUGCGGACCCUGCUGCACCUGAACCUGAGGACCCUGCUGAACGGCAGCCAUCUGACGAGCAACCUCUUGAGCAGCUACUCGGGCAGCCUCUUGAGCGGCCUGCCUGGCUGUCUCCUGGGCAAUCUGCUGAAGUGCCUCCUGAGCGGCCUGCCUAGCGGCAUCCUGAACCAUCUGUCUCAAUGCAUCCUGAUCAACUGGUGGAGCCGCGGGUGGCGGAACUGCGGGCUGCUCAUGCUCAUCUACAACGUCUCUAACAGCUCUGGCGGUCUGGGCACGGGUGGUUCUUCUCCUGGGCGGCAUCUGAAAGGAAAGCGAAAUGUUAACUUAUGCUGAACUUUUGAUACCAACAUUUAAGGAGAAGUGAUAUCGAACGGAAAGGUGCUAUUUAUUUUCGUUUACAAAAUUCCCAAAUCCCCGAAAAUAUUUCGAAAUCGUCUAAAACCGUCAAAACCGAUUAAAACCGAAUAAAACCAGGUCUCCAAAAAUCGCCAUCCCGGGUCGGAGCCGGGACGGAACCCCGCUCUGAUACCAAAAAUUGUCACACCCGGUUUUCUCAAAAUAAUAUAAUAGCGAAAAAUAACAAAAUAAUAAAUACUGAAAUAAUAAUAAUCUUCAUAUCAUAAUAUAAAAGUCAAUACGAUACCAUAAGGCCUAAAAGCCCAACAUCGAUAACAUCCGAAAUAUAAAAUACAACAUAAACCGAAAGUCUGAAAUAGGAAAUAACAUAAACGAUAAAAGUCCAAAGGCCCGAUAAAGAUAAAAGCGGUAAAAGCGAUAGAAGCCCAAAAGCCCAAUAGCACAGGUCCGAUAAUCACUCCUGCUCGUCGGUCUCACCUGAAAGGGGGAAGAGUGAGGGGUGAGCGAUAGGUGAAUCGCCCAAUGAGGUAUGGGGGAUGCUACCCCGAAGUCCAUGGACCCGGACAUAACACUCCGAAUAAAUAUAAU
rnacentral:lncRNA from 1 species